GGACAGACCAAGAAAUCCAGACGUACACCAUUGCAGUAAUAAAUGCACUCUUCCUUAAAGCACCAGAUGACAAGAGGCAGGAAAUGGCAAACAUUUUGGCACAAAAGCAGCUUCGUUCCAUCAUCUUAACUCAUGUUAUCAGGGCACAGAGAGCCAUCAAUAAUGAAAUGGCACACCAGCUAUAUGUUCUGCAAGUGCUUACCUUUAAUCUUCUGGAAGACAGAAUGAUGACAAAAAUGGAUCCCCAAGAUCAAG